rnacentral:rRNA from 1 species
AGGAUUAACGCUGGCGGCGUGCCUAACACAUGCAAGUCGAACGAGGUAGCAAUACCUAGUGGCAGACGGGUGAGUAACGCGUGGUCAACCUACCGUUGAGUGGGGGAUAACUAGCCGAAAGGUUAGCUAAUACCGCAUACGAGUCUCGGGGGCAUCCCUGGGCCUUAAAAGGAGCAAUCCGCUCGAUGACGGGACCGCGUCCCAUUAGCUAGAUGGUGGGGUAAUGGCCUACCAUGGCACCGAUGGGUAGCUGGUUUGAGAGAGCGACCAGCCACACUGGGACUGAGAAACGGCCCAGACUCCUACGGGAGGCAGCAGUGAGGAAUUUUCCGCAAUGGGCGAAAGCCUGACGGAGCGACGCCGCGUGUGGGAAGAAGGCCUUCGGGUCGUAAACCACUGUCGAAGGGGACGAUAAUGACGGUACCCUUGGAGGAAGCCCCGGCUAACUACGCGCCAGCAGCCGC